rnacentral:tRNA from 1 species
GCGGAAGUGGCGAAAUUGGUAGACGCGCUGGAUUUAGGUUCCAGUGCCGCAAGGCGUGAGAGUUCGAGUCUCUCCUUCCGCA